ensembl:lncRNA
AUUAGCUCCGUUGCAGGAAACCUUUCAAUUCCAAAUUUUAAAAAACUAUAUGUAUUAUCUUAACCAUCCACGGAUCAAACAUUGGUUUCCAUGAAAAUGAAAUUCUUUUAACAUUAAUGCCACUGCAGUUAUUUUUUUCCAUAAAUUAGCACCAGAAAUAAAAAUGAUAAUGAAAUGUAAAAGUCAUGGUUUUGGAAAUGGUGUAUUAAGUUACAAAUAGCGAGCCUUAGUUCUCUGGAUAGAGAUGGGGCUAAAUGACCUUACAAUCAACCAGAGAUGGCAAUCAUAGAUUCCAGGGAUCGAACUCAGGACUUUGCACUUUCGAGGCAGGCGCCAGGACCACUGAGCUAAAUCCCCAGUUGACAUAUCUUGAUUGAGAAUGCUACCAGGCUAAAAGUACUUGCCUCCCUUUGGGGGCGGGUGAAUGAAGGUAAGGAUGGAUUCAGGCUACAAGACUUCCCAGGGAAGUCUGUGCUGACUUCUCUUGCAGGUGACUGGGGCCUCUGAAUGUUAAACAUGAUGGAAAUCUCAAAGAUCAUCUGCGAACUCUGUUCUCCGGAGUAAUCUGGGCAAAGUAAUAGACUCAGAAAAGGUAACUAACUAAUUUGGGGCAAAAACAAAACCUGGAAGCUUACUUUAAGCUUUUACUUCUACAGAUACCUUGUUGUGUGCUGUUUGCCCAAGCCUGUGUGUCCUUGGGGGCCGCUUGAACUGCUCUCAUGGAGGACUGGGAGUAGCUUGUGGAGCUGAGACCUUAACCCUGAUCUAAUAGCCACCGAUUUCCACCGUAGCAAAUCCCUGUAUCCGUGGUGCUCACAUUCAUAGGAAAAUGAAAAGAC